UACGUAGGGUGCAAGCGUUAAUCGGAAUUACUGGGCGUAAAGCGAGCGCAGGCGGUUAUGUAAGACAGGUGUGAAAUCCCCGGGCUUAACCUGGGAACCGCAUUUGUGACUGCAUGGCUAGAGUGUGUCAGAGGGAGGUGGAAUUCCGCGUGUAGCAGUGAAAUGCGUAGAUAUGCGGAGGAACACCGAUGGCGAAGGCAGCCUCCUGGGAUAACACUGACGCUCAUGCUCGAAAGCGUGGGGAGCAAACAGG
rnacentral:rRNA from 1 species